rnacentral:lncRNA from 1 species
AUCUAUCAUGAUACCACACAAUUCAAAUAGGUAAUUAUAACAAUUAUACUUACAUAUCCAAGGAGGUUGAGAGAGUUUUCUGAGUCGUAAAACCCCUUAAUUUUAUUCCCACUAAUUAUCUCCAAUAUUAUUACGCCAAAACUAAACACAUCGGAUUUCAUGGAGUAACGACCGUGCACUGCAUACUCUGGAGGCAUGUAACCACUAGAAAUAUUGAUUGGAGAGUAAUUAGAACAAAAAGAAAAUGAUUACACACAAGCUAAUCACUAAGUACAAAAAGAAGAUAACUUACUAUGUUCCGACCAUCUUUUUUGUUUUGGCUUCAACUUGAUCUCCCCCAAAUGUCCGAGCC